UACGAAGGGGGCUAGCGUUGCUCGGAAUCACUGGGCGUAAAGCGCACGUAGGCGGCCUCUUAAGUCGGUGGUGAAAUCCUGGAGCUCAACUCCAGAACUGCCUUCGAUACUGAGAGUCUCGAGUCCGGGAGAGGUGAGUGGAACUGCGAGUGUAGAGGUGAAAUUCGUAGAUAUUGGGAAGAACACCUGAGGCGAAGGCGGGUUGCUGGGCUGAUACUGACGCUGAGGCGCGAAAGCCAGGGGAGCAAACGGG
rnacentral:rRNA from 1 species